GCUUAUGGCCAUACCAGCCUGGCUAUGCCCGAUCUUGUCUGAUCUCGGAAGCUAAAGCAGGUUUGGGCCUGGUUAGUACAUGGAUGGGAGACUGCCUGGGAAUACCAGGUGCUUUAAAUU
rnacentral:rRNA from 1 species